rnacentral:rRNA from 1 species
UUAAGCGACUAAGCGUACACGGUGGAUGCCCUGGCAGUCAGAGGCGAUGAAGGACGUGCUAAUCUGCGAAAAGCGUCGGUAAGGUGAUAUGAACCGUUACAGCCGGCGAUGUCCGAAUGGGGAAACCCAGUGCAAUUCGUUGCACUAUCGUUAACUGAAUACAUAGGUUAACGAGGCGAACCGGGGGAACUGAAACAUCUAAGUACCCCGAGGAAAAGAAAUCAACCGAGAUUCCCCCAGUAGCGGCGAGCGAACGGGGAGCAGCCCAGAGUCUGAAUCAGCUUGUGUGUUAGUGGAACGGUCUGGAAAGUCCGACGGUACAGGGUGAUAGUCCCGUACACCAAAAUGCACAGGCUGUGAACUCGAAGAGUAGGGCGGGACACGUGGUAUCCUGUCUGAAUAUGGGGGGACCAUCCUCCAAGGCUAAAUACUCCUGACUGACCGAUAGUGAACCAGUACCGUGAGGGAAAGGCGAAAAGAACCCCGGCGAGGGGAGUGAAAAAGAACCUGAAACCGUGUACGUACAAGCAGUGGGAGCACCUUCGGGUGUGACUGCGUACCUUUUGUAUAAUGGGUCAGCGACUUAUAUUCUGUAGCAAGGUUAACCGUAUAGGGGAGCCGCAGGGAAACCGAGUCUUAACUGGGCGUUAAGUUGCAGGGUAUAGACCCGAAACCCGGUGAUCUAGCCAUGGGCAGGUUGAAGGUUGGGUAACACUAACUGGAGGACCGAACCGACUAAUGUUGAAAAAUUAGCGGAUGACUUGUGGCUGGGGGUGAAAGGCCAAUCAAACCGGGAGAUAGCUGGUUCUCCCCGAAAGCUAUUUAGGUAGCGCCUCGUGAACUCAUCUUCGGGGGUAGAGCACUGUUUCGGCUAGGGGGUCAUCCCGACUUACCAACCCGAUGCAAACUACGAAUACCGAAGAAUGUUAUCACGGGAGACACACGGCGGGUGCUAACGUCCGUCGUGAAGAGGGAAACAACCCAGACCGCCAGCUAAGGUCCCAAAGUCAUGGUUAAGUGGGAAACGAUGUGGGAAGGCACAGACAGCCAGGAUGUUGGCUUAGAAGCAGCCAUCAUUUAAAGAAAGCGUAAUAGCUCACUGGUCGAGUCGGCCUGCGCGGAAGAUGUAACGGGGCUAAACCAUGCACCGAAGCUGCGGCAGCGACACUAUGUGUUGUUGGGUAGGGGAGCGUUCUGUAAGCCUGCGAAGGUGUGCUGUGAGGCAUGCUGGAGGUAUCAGAAGUGCGAAUGCUGACAUAAGUAACGAUAAAGCGGGUGAAAAGCCCGCUCGCCGGAAGACCAAGGGUUCCUGUCCAACGUUAAUCGGGGCAGGGUGAGUCGACCCCUAAGGCGAGGCCGAAAGGCGUAGUCGAUGGGAAACAGGUUAAUAUUCCUGUACUUGGUGUUACUGCGAAGGGGGGACGGAGAAGGCUAUGUUAGCCGGGCGACGGUUGUCCCGGUUUAAGCAUGUAGGCUGGUUGUCCAGGCAAAUCCGGAUAAUCAAGGCUGAGGUGUGAUGACGAGGCACUACGGUGCUGAAGUAACAAAUGCCCUGCUUCCAGGAAAAGCCUCUAAGCAUCAGGUAACAUUAAAUCGUACCCCAAACCGACACAGGUGGUCAGGUAGAGAAUACCAAGGCGCUUGAGAGAACUCGGGUGAAGGAACUAGGCAAAAUGGUGCCGUAACUUCGGGAGAAGGCACGCUGGUGUGUAGGUGAAGUCCCUGCGGAUGGAGCUGAGACCAGUCGAAGAUACCAGCUGGCUGCAACUGUUUAUUAAAAACACAGCACUGUGCAAACACGAAAGUGGACGUAUACGGUGUGACGCCUGCCCGGUGCCGGAAGGUUAAUUGAUGGGGUUAUCCGUAAGGAGAAGCUCUUGAUCGAAGCCCCGGUAAACGGCGGCCGUAACUAUAACGGUCCUAAGGUAGCGAAAUUCCUUGUCGGGUAAGUUCCGACCUGCACGAAUGGCGUAAUGAUGGCCAGGCUGUCUCCACCCGAGACUCAGUGAAAUUGAACUCGCUGUGAAGAUGCAGUGUACCCGCGGCAAGACGGAAAGACCCCGUGAACCUUUACUAUAGCUUGACACUGAACAUUGAGCCUUGAUGUGUAGGAUAGGUGGGAGGCUUUGAAGCGUGGACGCCAGUCUGCGUGGAGCCAACCUUGAAAUACCACCCUUUAAUGUUUGAUGUUCUAACGUUGGCCCCUUACCGGGGUUGCGGACAGUGUCUGGUGGGUAGUUUGACUGGGGCGGUCUCCUCCCAAAGCGUAACGGAGGAGCACGAAGGUUAGCUAAUCCUGGUCGGACAUCAGGAGGUUAGUGCAAUGGCAUAAGCUAGCUUGACUGCGAGCGUGACGGCGCGAGCAGGUGCGAAAGCAGGUCAUAGUGAUCCGGUGGUUCUGAAUGGAAGGGCCAUCGCUCAACGGAUAAAAGGUACUCCGGGGAUAACAGGCUGAUACCGCCCAAGAGUUCAUAUCGACGGCGGUGUUUGGCACCUCGAUGUCGGCUCAUCACAUCCUGGGGCUGAAGUAGGUCCCAAGGGUAUGGCUGUUCGCCAUUUAAAGUGGUACGCGAGCUGGGUUUAGAACGUCGUGAGACAGUUCGGUCCCUAUCUGCCGUGGGCGCUGGAGAAUUGAGGGGGGCUGCUCCUAGUACGAGAGGACCGGAGUGGACGCAUCACUGGUGUUCGGGUUGUCAUGCCAAUGGCACUGCCCGGUAGCUAAAUGCGGAAGAGAUAAGUGCUGAAAGCAUCUAAGCACGAAACUUGCCCCGAGAUGAGUUCUCCCUGAGACUUUAAGUCUCCUGAAGGAACGUUGAAGACGACGACGUUGAUAGGCCGGGUGUGUAAGCGCAGCGAUGCGUUGAGCUAACCGGUACUAAUGAACCGUGAGGCUUAACCUU